rnacentral:rRNA from 1 species
UACAGAGGUCUCAAGCGUUGUUCGGAAUUACUGGGCGUAAAGGGUGCGCAGGCCGCACGGGCAGUCAAAUGUGUAAUUCAGGGGCUCAACCCCUGCACUGCGCUUGAUACUUCCGUGCUCGAACCUUGGAGAGGAGUCUGGAAUUCUCGGUGUAGCAGUGAAAUGCGUGGAUAUCGAGAAGAACACUUAGGGCGAAAGCAAGACUCUGGACAAGUGUUGACGCUCAUGCACGAAGGCUAGGGGAGCGAACGGG